GACGGAACGCUGGCGGCAUGCCUAACACAUGCAAGUCGAGCGAGUUGAUCCCUUCGGGUGAAGCUAGCGGCGGACGGGUGAGUAACACGUGGGCAACCUGCCUCAUAGAGGGGAAUAGCCUCCCGAAAGGGAGAUUAAUACCGCAUAAGAUUGUAGCUUCGCAUGAAGUAGCAAUUAAAGGAGCAAUCCGCUAUGAGAUGGGCCCGCGGCGCAUUAGCUAGUUGGUGAGGUAACGGCGUCACCAAGGCGACGAUGCGUAGCCGACCUGAGAGGGUGAUCGGCCGACAUUGGGACUGAGACACGGGCCCAGACUCCUACGGGAGGCAGCAGUGGGGGAAUAUUGCGACAAAUGGGGGAAACCCUGAUGCAGCAAUGCCGCGUGAAGUGAUGA
rnacentral:rRNA from 1 species